CAGUCAUGAUGGUUCAGGAGCUGCCAGUAUGCCAGGUGUAGAUAAUAAAGGCAAUUUUGUGUGUUAUUGAGUGGUGAUCUGUGGCAAUUAGAUCACUAUGUUAACUACAAAGCCAAACAGAAAUUGAAAGCAGUAAUAGAAAGAAGUCACUUAAAAAUACUGAACAAGUAAAGUCAGAAUCAAGCAGUCAAAUGAACAGUAAGGCAUCUAUGGAGAGAAGAAUAGUCCCACAGCACAGUUCAGAUAUAAGAGAAGCAAUAGCAUUCUUUGACUCAGUUAUUGCAGAUCUGGAUUCAGAGAGAUGGCGGAGAGUUCCUGACAUGGAUUUGCCAAACGUGGAUGUUGAUUUCGAUGUUGCUAAGAGCACACGUGAACACAGUUUACAUUCAAACUGGAUCCUUCGUGCUCCCCGCAGGUACUCUCAAGAUACUGCCCAAACAGCCAAGGCUGCAAACCAGUCUCAGAGAAACAGCCAACGGAGAACCACUGGCUCUAGGAAGAGGUUGGAAAGACAUCCCAUGUACUUGCCCAAAGCGGUGGAAGGAGCAUAUAACACGUUAAAAUUUAAGCCCAAAACACAUAAGAGAGAAUAUUGA
rnacentral:lncRNA from 1 species